AAACCAACUAGAUAGAGAAACAGGAGGGGAAGCUUAGCUUGUAAAAAGGAUGAGUUGAAAAGCCCUGGGCUAAACUAUUCCUGAAAGAGUGAACUAGGGAGCACAGCAGGAGCUGAAGAACUUGUAGGCUAUCCAUCCAUGUAGAGAGCUAAGCUCCCUGUUCACUGCAUGGGCUGGCAGUUUGGUCACUCCUAGGCAGAACAACUCAGGGGAAAACUUCAGGUGGCAACGAGAGACAGAAUUAACUAGAGAAACCAAGGGAAAGGAUCUGUAUAUAUGGAAGAAUAACUCAACUUGUUGCACCACAACUGCCUCUCUCUUAGUUAGAGAAGAGCAGCCUUGGGUGCUGCUUCAUGCCAACAGAGACCGUUGGAACAAAUCCAGCUCUCUUCACAAUGGAGUAGACACAGCUGACAAAGAAAAACUUAGCUGCCAGACUUUGAUCUCUAAUGCACCUUUAUCCUGAACGACUGUGGAGAAGCUUAAUUGUGUCAACUGACAAAAAACACUCUCUUAAUGUAGCAUUAAGACUUAGCAGUUAAAAUAAAAUAAAAAGCAGCCUGAAAGUUAAGGUUUGAACAACUGCGUUAGCUCCACUCUGUUGAAUAUCCUGUAUGUUUUAUGACAGGAACAUUUGAUGUGCACAUUUCAAAAAGAAUUGUAUAGCUUAAUACAGUCUUGCUUGUAAGAUGCAUUCCAUACAACAUGAACAGCAAGCAGCUAGGUCAAGAGAGGCAGGCCAGCCUUGUGGUUAAGGCUCUGGAGAGCUGGGCUGAGUUUCUGGCUCUGCCUGUAUGAUCUUGCCCAGUCACUCUCACCCUGAUCCUGCAAAGUCUCUACAGACUCAGAGCAGGUCACUGGAUCUAAAAGUGUGUGGCUCCAGUUAGCCCUUUCUGUGAACCAACCCCCUCAGCUCCUUCCUCCGGGCACGCUGGCUGUGCAGAGGCUGCCCUCCUCCUUGCAUCGUCUGGAGAACUCAGAGCUACAGGGUCCCACCACACUAGAGUGAAUCUCACCUCUCUGCAUAUAUGCUUAACUGAGGGCUCAGCCCGCUGUGACACAGCAGAUUUACCUCCCAAGGAGGAGAGAAUGAAUUAAGACCCAGGACCCUGUCAUGUGACUAAAACAGGCCUCUUUGGGGAGAGGGUUCUAAGAAAAAUAGAGGCCUGUGGACAGCUAGGAACUGCAAAAUGAAGCUCCUGGGUGGGAGAGUCUCCAGCAGUUGUCCAUGAGGAAGGAAGGCUCCAUCUGGGAUGCCUGGGAGUUGUGGUUGGGUAGAAAGCCCUGGUUGGAAGUUUAUUUUUGUCUUGGGAAGAAGGCAGGCUGAGCCUUGCAUCUUUUUCAGCUGUUCUGAGAGCAAGGAGAGAACACCUGUGAGAGGAGGUGCUAUGCCCAAUUUGAGUGAGACUUUAUAUUUUAAUUUUGGACUUUUGUUAACAAAAACAGACUCCAAGAAGUGGCUGUUGGACUGAUGGAAGCCUCUUGUGAGUACAGUUUCAGGAUCCCAAGAGGGGAAAUCAAGGCAGGGUGCUGAAAAGCCACUCUUGGCUGUGAGAGGGCGCUCAGGAGGCAGCUAACCCACUUACAGGGAUACUGUUCAGAGAUCCUCUCUCCACCACUCCUGCUGCCUAAUGAAAUGCAGAUGCGCUGGCUUUUUGAGCUAAUGUUGAAUCUCUGAAACAGCCCCUGCAUGCUCACUCGCUGGUUCCUUUCUUGUUUGCAGCUAUCUGGAUUAUUGAUUUUUUUCCCCUUACUUUGCUGAACUCAGUGUACCUGGUACCUGUGGGUUUGUGGGUGUUUUUGCAUUGUCCCUGUGCCAAAGACCUUAAAAUCUUUCAGAUAAAUACAUCUUGUAGAAUAAUGGUUCAUAGAUAAGCUGUGGAGAAAUGUUUGAUGAAGAAAUCAGCACAACAGAUCCCCCACCCCAACCACUAGAAAAAUGAACCUUGAGGAGGAGGCUACAUCUCUUGAUGUAGAAGGAGAGAGAAGCCACCAGAGGAGUUCUGGAAGGGGUGGGGCAGGACAGUGGAAGAAGAUGAGAUUUUUAGCAGAGGCAUCUUCAGUGGAGUGGAAUGAAGAGACAUGAAAUGCCAGGAAUGCAGGAUGGAGCUGGAUCAGGGUUAAAUAUUCCAGAGGAGAUGACCUAGGUAUGGAUCAGGUGGGAUGUAAUGGAAAGUGAAUUUUUAAAAAGACUAUAGAUGAAGAGACACCAAGGAAAGAACAUCUAGUUGUGAGGGAAGACAAUGAAGAGAGGUAUCUAAGAUGUCCAACUAAGAUGGCUAUAGAGAACAUUUUGAAUUGCACUGAAAUAAGACACAAUAUGGCAUAGGAGUAAGAUUCUGUCUCUGUCAAGAGCUGUAUUGUGAAACACAAAA